rnacentral:piRNA from 1 species
UGGACGCUUUCGGAUGGAUGC